GUCGAGAAUCAUUCACAAUGGGGGAAACCCUGAUGGUGUGACGCCGCGUGGAGGAUGAAGGUCUUCGGAUCGUAAACUCCUGUCAUGUGGGAGUAAAGCCGGGUGUUAAAUGCAUGCCGGCGUGAGAGUACCACAAGAGGAAGGGACGGCUAACUCUGUGCCAGCAGCCGCGGUAAUACAGAGGUCCCAAGCGUUGUUCGGAAUCACUGGGCGUAAAGGGUGCGUAGGCGGCGCGGAAAGUCAGGGGUGAAAUCCCGGAGCUCAACUCCGGAACUGCCUUUGAUACUCCCGCGCUUGAGAACUGGAGGGGAGACCGGAAUUCACGGUGGAGCAGUGAAAUGCGUGGAUAUCGUGAGGAACACUAGUGGCGAAGGCGGGUCUCUGGACAGUAUCUGACGCUGAGGCACGAAGGCCAGGGGAGCGAACGGGAUUAGAUACCCCUGUAGUCC
rnacentral:rRNA from 1 species